rnacentral:rRNA from 1 species
UACGGAGGGGGCAAGCGUUGUUCGGAAUYAUUGGGCGUAAAGGGCAUGUAGGCGGUUCGGUAAGUUAAAGGUGAAAUGCCAGGGCUUAACCCUGGAGCUGCUUUUAAUACUGCCAGACUAGAGUCCGGGAGAGGAUAGCGGAAUUCCUAGUGUAGAGGUGAAAUUCGUAGAUAUUAGGAGGAACACCAGUGGCGAAGGCGGCUAUCUGGUCCGGUACUGACGAGGAGGUGCGAAAGCGUGGGGAGCA